rnacentral:tRNA from 1 species
GGUAGGAUGGCUGAGUUUUUAAGCGGUGGAUUGUAGCCCCAUGUACAGAGGUUUAAAUCCUCUUCCUGCCA